CUUCAACGAGCCGAGCCAGAGCGGCUGUUCGGUGUCGCGGCCCUGGCCGUAGGUGGCCAGCAGGGCCUGGGCCUC
rnacentral:antisense_RNA from 1 species